UGACCACAUCGCGUUGAAACACCGGUUUCCGAACGAUCACCGAAGUUAAGCAACGUCGAGUCCGAUUAGCACCUAGAUGGGUGACCGCUUGGAAAUACCAGGUGCUGUAA